rfam:Triticum urartu cultivar G1812 contig764626, whole genome shotgun sequence.
CAUGUACUCCCUCCGUUCCGAAUUACUUGUUUUGGAUUUGUCUAGACACGGAGGUAUCUAGCACUAAAAUGAGUCUAGAUACAUCCGUAUCUAGACAAAUCCAAGACAAGUAAUUCGGAACGGAGGGAGUACACC